GGACUACAGGGGUUUCUAAUCCUGUUCGCUCCCCACGCUUUCGCUCCUCAGCGUCAGUAUCGGCCCAGAGACCCGCCUUCGCCACCGGUGUUCCUCCUGAUAUCUGCGCAUUUCACCGCUACACCAGGAAUUCCAGUCUCCCCUACCGAACUCUAGCCUGCCCGUAUCGAAUGCAAUGUCAGAGUUGAGCCCUGAGAUUUCACAUUCGACGUGACAAGCCGCCUACGAGCUCUUUACGCCCAAUAAAUCCGGACAACGCUCGCGCCCUACGUCUUACCGCGGCUGCUGGCAC
rnacentral:rRNA from 1 species